rnacentral:pre_miRNA from 1 species
CCAGGAAAAUGACCUAUGAAUUGACAGACUGCUUUCUAAAUUUGUCUGUCAUUUCUAUAGGCCAAUAUUCUGU